UCACCUCCACUUGUCCCAGAGUCU
rnacentral:misc_RNA from 1 species